GGCUGGAAGCUUUCGAUUAGGGGCCUGCCCCUGGGAAGGUCUGAGAUGAGACGUCUAGCCGAAAGGGCACUUGGUUAAUGCCAAGGGUCGUCCACAACAGAAACACUCACUUCCCCCAUGACCGGAACGGGAUGACUGGGGGGAGUUUGGAAAUUGGACGAUGUCUUAGACUCGAAUAGUCCAACUCGAAAGGCAGCCGUGUUCCAUGCUGUAACCAGAUUCAGACUACUCUCCAGCAGCC
rnacentral:RNase_P_RNA from 2 species